UACGGGGGGGGCAAGCGUUGUUCGGAAUUACUGGGCGUAAAGGGUUCGUAGGUGGCCAACUAAGUCAGACGUGAAAUCCCUCAGCUUAACUGGGGAACUGCGUCUGAUACUGAGUGGCUUGAGUGCAGGAGAGGAAUGCGGAAUUCCAGGUGUAGCGGUGAAAUGCGUAGAUAUCUGGAGGAACACCGGUGGCGAAGGCGGCAUUCUGGACUGUAACUGACACUGAGGAACGAAAGCCAGGGGAGCAAACGGG
rnacentral:rRNA from 1 species